GAAAUUUAACUUAUAAACUUCUAAUUUAAAAAUUGUGAUAAAUCAUAUAAAUUUCU
rnacentral:tRNA from 1 species